UGAAAAUAACAAGGCCAUUUUCUUCUUCUUCUUGCCGUGAGUUGAGAAAGAAAAUAGAAACCUUUGAGCUUAGGGCAUUCGGCAAAAGAAGGCUUCAAAUAAGCUCAAGAGCAUAGAGGGGCAAUUUUGGAUAAAGAGAAAGUAAACGAAUAGCCGUGGAUAUCUAGUCGUCGACCACUUCCGAGGUAAGUUUUAAGUGAUUAAACAUUGAGUAAAUUCAAUCAUAAUAGGACAUAAUGAGUUGAUUUAAUAAGAUAUGAUGUGGCCAUGAUAUGUCUUAAACUCAAAUGGUAAGUUCAUAUGUGUUUGG
rnacentral:lncRNA from 1 species